UGGGCCAUUAGUUUAAUGGAUAGAAUACACCUUUGCGAAAGGUGUGAUCCAAGUUCGAUUCUUGGAUGGCCCAA
rnacentral:tRNA from 1 species